rnacentral:rRNA from 1 species
UACAGAGGGGGCAAGCGUUGUUCGGAAUUACUGGGCGUAAAGGGCGCGUAGGCGGCCUUCUAAGUCGAACGUGAAAUCCCUGGGCUCAACCCAGGAACUGCGUCCGAUACUGGAAGGCUUGAAUCCGGGAGAGGGAUGCGGAAUUCCAGGUGUAGCGGUGAAAUUCGUAGAUAUUGGGAAGAACACCGAUGGCGAAGGCAGCCAUCUGGACCGACACUGACGCUGAGGCGCGAAAGCGUGGGGAGCAAACAGG